UAUGGGAUAGCUCAGCAGGUAGAGUAGAGGACUAAAAAUCCUCAUGUCACGAGUUCAAAUAUGGUCCCUAUGC
rfam:Beta vulgaris subsp. vulgaris chromosome 1, whole genome shotgun sequence.